GACGAACGCUGGCGGCGUGCCUAAUACAUGCAAGUAGGACGCAGUUGCGAACGGGUGAGUAACGCGUAGGUAACUGCCUAUUAGAGGGGGAUAACUAUUGGAAACGAUAGCUAAUACCGCAUACUAGUAGAUGGACCUGCGUUGUAUUAGCUAGUAGGUAGGGUAAUGGCCUACCUAGGCGGCGUGACAUAGCCGGCCUGAGGGGGUGAUCGACCCCACUGGGACUGGGACACGGGCCAGACUCCUACGGGGGGCAGCAGUAGGGAAUCGUCGGAAAUGGGGGGAACCCUGACCGCGCAACGCCGCGGGAGUGAAGAAGGUUUUCGGAUCGUAAAGCUCUUUUGUGAAGGAAGCGGUACUUAACCAGAAAGGGACGGCUAACUACGUGCCAGCAGCCGCGGUAAUUC
rnacentral:rRNA from 1 species